UGGUGCAGAUCUGAAGAGGUUGAAGUC
rnacentral:piRNA from 1 species